GUGGGGAAUAUUGGGCAAUGGGGGAAACCCUGACCCAGCAACGCCGCGUGAGGGAAGAAGGUUUUCGGAUUGUAAACCUCUGUCCUUGGUGACGAAGGAAGUGACGGUAACCAAGGAGGAAGCCCCGGCUAACUACGUGCCAGCAGCCGCGGUAAUACGUAGGGGGCAAGCGUUGUCCGGAAUGACUGGGCGUAAAGGGCGUGUAGGCGGCCGAUUAAGUCUGGAGUGAAAGUCCUGCUUUCAAGGUGGGAAUUGCUUUGGAGACUGGUUGGCUUGAGGGCGGAAGAGGUAAGUGGAAUUCCCAGUGUAGCGGUGAAAUGCGUAGAGAUUGGGAGGAACACCAGUGGCGAAGGCGACUUACUGGGCCGUAACUGACGCUGAGGCGCGAAAGCGUGGGGAGCGAACAGGAUUAGAUACCCUUGUAGUCC
rnacentral:rRNA from 1 species